rnacentral:tmRNA from 1 species
CCCCUUUUCUUGCCGGGUUUCUCUCCCUAUAUGAGCCUUGCCGGUUUCGACCGGCUAUGGCGAUAAAUUAUGUCGUGUAAUAGACGCAGCGGACCCGGGGGCGGUACCCGGCGGCUCCACCAUGGCUUUCGGUCCGAUCAUGGACCGGGCGCUCUGACGGGGCCGAACUAGGAUCGACGUGUGUUGAAAGACGGUGUUUUUGCCCGGGCUGAGUAACCCGUUCAAGGCUCAAAACCUAUAAGUGCCAACGAUAACGAAGCACUUGCUCUUGCUGCGUAAUUGAGGGGCGCGAGCCCUGACAUUACCCAAAUAGAACGCGGUUGGACCCACCGGGCAACAGAAGGGAUUCCA